GUGGGUACAGCUCAGUGGUAGAGUGCAUGCUUAACAUGCAUGAGGUCCCGAGUUCAAUUCCCAGGAUCCAUU
rnacentral:tRNA from 1 species